AGAGCCACAGAGAGAGGGAGACACAGAAUCCAAAGCUGGCUCCAGGCUCUGAGCUGUCAGCACAGAGCCUGAUGUGGGGCUCGAACUCACGAACUGUGAGACCAUGACCUAAGUUGAAAUCGGAUGCUUAACUGACUGUGCCACCCAGGCGCCCCACUUUUUGUGUGGUUUUCUUUUCAUGUCAAUUCGCAGCCUUGGUUCCAAGAUAUAUUAAGCUUCAUCAGGCGAUAAGCAUAACGUAUGAAUCCUAAUAUCUAAAUGUACGUGGCAAUACCUGGCUUCGCUUCAGAAUUUUUUUUAGUUGAGUUUGUCCAUUUCCACCAAAUGUAAUCCUGUCGAUCAUCAGCUCCGGGGAGACAGAAGUUAGUACUUGAUUUGUUUUUAUUCCAGGUGUUGCUCGAAUGCUAAUAGUUGAAAAGCACUGUACUAUUUGACCCGGAAGAGCUUUGACUAAAGGGAUUUCCACGUUUUCACUCCUGUCCCCAGGGAGGAAAGGUAUCCAGGUCCUUCUGUUUAACAGGAAGAGAAGUUAAACUUCCAGAGAAACCCAAUGGACAAUCUCCACAACAGAUGGUAACAAAAACUCAUCCAGAUGGGGUGCAAGUGCUGUAAAAUGGUACAAAGCUAUCUCUUCGAUCCAGUUCAAGUGCCCUCCUCUGGCUACGUCAACGAGGUGAACAGCUGCAAGGUGGAUGAAGGGGGCGCUGGUAAAUGGAAAGGCAAACAGGGCAGCCAAGUACUGGGGCAUCAAAACGAGCUGCAGAGCGAGGGCCUGAAGAGGACGGCCAGCAGGGGCAGAGCUGGCAGCGGGCAGGAGCCCCGCUGGCCUCCCCCGGGAUCGCCCCCUCUGGGGGACACGGUGGGGGGACACUGCGCGGACAAGGCUGGCAGUGCGGUCAACGGCAUCGGCCCCGCCGCCCCCCC